rnacentral:lncRNA from 1 species
CCUGUAAGCUUUGUUCUCUUUGAAUUUAACUUUUGUCUUAGAACAGCAAAACCUGGCUUAGGUGAUUCAAGGAAAGACUUGCCAGUUAGUCAGGCAUAGGUGUAGGAUCAUAUGUUCACCAUUCUUAAGCAUCGACUUUGUAUCACAGAUACAAUGUCAGUUAGCCAGUGAUAAGCUUUGGAACUAAGUUAGUUUUUAGUAACUGUGUACUGUUAACUCUGAAAUCUUCUUUGAAGC